GGAAAACGGGUAGGGGAAAAUAACGCCCCUUGACCCCGAGCGUUGUGCUGAACAUCCGGGCAACAGUGUGGUGGUGUAGUGGGGAAGAUGGCGGCGCUGAUCCUCCCUACUGAUUGGAUCAAAAAUUGGGAAAAAUCCGGAAAAAAUGAGUUCCUGCAGCUGUGUCGGGACCUGGCAGGCAAAGCCGACGACGAAGCGUUCCUUAAAGAUCUCCAGAUGGCCCUGUACGAGCUCUGCUGGCACGUCAUCCACGGCGGUCUGAAGGUUGACGUGGCUGCCAGCCUUCUGGCUGAUGUUACGGAGCUGAGGGAGGAAAUGCCUUCUGUUUUAGCUGAUGUUUUCUGUGUACUAGAUAUCGAGACCGGAUCUUUGGAGGAGAAGCACAAACGAGACCAUUUUACUCAGCUGGUGGGAGCGUGUUUGUGUUGCGUUUCCGAUGCCGUCCUGAAAGAGAGGCUCGACCCCGACACCCUGGAGUCCCUCGGCUUGAUCAAACAAGCACAGCAGUUCAACCAGAAGAUCGUUAAAAUCAAGACCAAGCUGUUUUAUAAACAGCAGAAGUUCAACUUGUUGCGUGAGGAGAACGAAGGCUACGCCAAGCUAGUGACGGAGCUGGGCCAGGAUCUCUCAGGAAACAUCACCAGCCAUCUUGUUCUGGAGAGCAUCAAGUCUCUAAUAGGAUGUUUCAACUUGGACCCAAACCGCGUGUUGGACAUCAUUUUGGAAGUGUACGAGUGCCGUUCGGACCAGGACGAGUUCUUCAUCCCUCUGAUCAAGUCGUACAUGUGUGAGCACCAGACGCUGUGCCACAUCCUGGGCUUCAAGUUCAAAUUCCAUCAGGAACCAAACGGAGAAACACCAUCGUCUCUGUACCACAUUGCCGCUGCCCUACUCCAGCACAAUCUAAUCGCCCGGGAGGAUCUCUACGUCCAUCUGUUCCCGCUGGACUCCAGCAUCGUGGAAGAGCACAAAAGGGAGAUCCUGGAGGCCAAGCAGAUCGCCCGUAAGCUCACCAUGGUGGUGGUGCCGUCGGAGAAGAGCGAUGACAAAGAGAAGGAGAGGGACAAAGAUGAGGAAAAGAAUGAAAAGCCUCCCAAUAACCAGAAACUGGGCUUGCUCGAGGCUCUGCUGCAGAUCGGAGACUGGCAACAUGCACAGAGCAUCAUGGAGCAGAUGCCACCCUUCUACGCCACCUCGCAUAAAUCCAUAGCUGUAGCACUGUGCCAACUGCUGCACCUCAUCGUGGAGCCUCUGUACCGCAGGGCCGCGAUUCCUAAAGGUGCUAAAGGCGGCGUGUUGAAGAUGCUGAGGAACAGACAAGCUCCUCCUCCUGUCGAGAGCUUCGAGGAUCUCUCCAAAGACGUGUUCACCAUGCUGGGCUACCUGGGCCCGCACCUCUCCCACGAUCCCAUCCUUUUCGCCAAGAUCGUGCGUCUGGGCAAGAGCUUCAUGAAAGAGUACCAAAGUGAAAGCAAGCAAGAUGCCAAGGAGAAAAUGGACACACUGCUCAGCUGUUUCCUCAGCAUAGCUGACCAGGUGCUGCUGCCUUCACUCACGCUCAUGGACUGCAACGCCUGCAUGUCAGAGGAGAUCUGGGGCUUCUUUAAGCUCUUCCCCUACCAGCACAGGUAUCGGCUCUAUGGGCAGUGGAAAAACGAGACGUACAGUAGCCACCCGCUGCUGGUGAAGGUGAAGGCCCAGACAGUGGACCGAGCCAAGUACAUCAUGAAGCGACUGACCAAGGAAAACGUGAAGCCAUCGGGGAGGCAGAUUGGCAAGCUGAGCCACAGUAACCCCACCAUUCUCUUCGAUUACAUUCUCUCUCAGAUCCAGUGGUAUGACAACCUCAUCACCCCUGUGGUGGACUCUCUGAAAUACCUCACCUCUCUCAACUAUGAUGUACUGGCUUAUUGCAUUAUUGAAGCUUUAGCAAACCCGGAGAAAGAGAAGAUGAAGCACGACGACACUACGAUUUCAUCUUGGCUUCAAAGUCUCGCCAGUCUUUGUGGAGCAGUUUUCCGGAAGUACCCUAUAGAACUGGGUGGUUUACUGCAGUAUGUGACCAAUCAGCUGAAGGCAGGAAAGAGCUUUGACCUGUUGAUCCUGAAGGAGGUGGUGCAGAAGAUGGCCGGGAUCGAGAUCACAGACGAAAUGACAGCGGAGCAGCUGGAGGCCAUGACCGGAGGAGAGCAGCUUAAAGCAGAGGGAGGAUACUUCGGCCAGAUCAGGAACACAAAGAAGUCGUCUCAGCGCCUGAAGGACACGCUGCUGGAUCACGACUUGGCUCUUCCUCUUUGCCUGCUGAUGGCUCAGCAGAGGAAUGGCGUGGUGUUCUCCGAGGGAGGGGAGAAACACCUCAAACUAGUGGGCAAACUCUACGAUCAGUGUCACGACACGCUGGUGCAGUUUGGUGGCUUUUUAGCAUCCAACCUGAGCACGGAGGAUUACAUCAAGAGAGUUCCUUCCAUAGACGUGCUUUGUAACCAGUUCCACACUCCCCACGAUGCUGCUUUCUUCUUGUCCCGCCCAAUGUACGCCCAUCAGAUUAUGGCCAAGUACGACGAGCUGAAGAAGGCCGAGAAGGGAAACCGGCAGCAGCAGAAGGUCCACAAGUACAUAGCGGCGUGCGAGCAGGUGAUGGCGCCCGUGCACGAAGCCGUCGUCUCUCUCCACCUGCCCCGAGUGUGGGACGACCUGCGUCCGCAGUUCUACGCCACCUUCUGGUCACUCACCAUGUACGACCUGUCCGUCCCCCAUAGCGCCUACGACCGUGAGGUCAACAAGCUCAAGAUUCAGAUGAAAGCCAUCGAAGAGAAUCCAGAGAUGCCGCUGAACAAAAAGAAGAAGGAGAAGGAGCGGUGCACAGCGCUGCAGGACAAGCUGCUGGAGGAGGAGAAGAAGCAGUUGGAGCAUGUGCAGAGGGUCCUGCACCGCCUCAAGCUGGAGAAGGACAACUGGUUACUCACCAAAUCCACAAAGAACGAGACCAUCACUAAAUUUCUUCAGCUCUGUCUGUUCCCACGUUGUGUCUUUUCAGCCAUCGACGCCGUCUACUGCGCCCGCUUUGUCGAGCUCGUGCACCAACAGAAAACCCAGAACUUCUGCACACUACUGUGUUACGAUCGUGUCUUCUCCGAUAUCAUCUACACGGUGGCGAGCUGUACUGAGAACGAGUCUCGCCGUUACGGCCGUUUCCUGUGCUGCAUGCUGGAGACAGUGACACGAUGGCACAGCGAUAAAGCCAUCUACGAGAAGGAGUGCGGCAAUUACCCAGGGUUCCUAACCAUUUUCCGAGCCAGCGGCUUUGACGGAGGAAAUAAGGCGGACCAACUCGACUACGAGAACUUCAGACACGUCGUUCACAAAUGGCAUUACAAGCUGACUAAAGCUUCAGUGCACUGUCUGGAGACGGGCGAGUACACCCACAUUCGCAACAUCCUCAUCGUGCUGACCAAGAUCCUGCUGUUCUACCCGAAAGUGCUGAACCUGGGUCAGGCGCUCGAGUGCCGGGUGCACAAGAUCUGCCAGGAGGAGAAGGAGAAGAGGCCUGAUCUCUAUGCUUUAGCCAUGGGCUACUCUGGCCAGUUGAAAAGCAGGAAAGCUCACAUGGUGCCUGAGAACGAGUUCCACUACAAGGAGCCGGCGAGCACCGCCAACCCUGGCGCCCUGCAGAACGGCCCGGGCAGCUCCGGCAAGCCUGGCACUGCCACCCCUGCCUCUGCCAACACUGGAAAAAACGAGGAGGGUGCUGCUGAGGACACGGACAAAUCUAAGGACAAAUCUCAGGGGGCUCAGAAAACGGCCAGCAAGAACCCAACCACUGCGAAUAAAGUGAGCAGCAGCAACGGCAGCAGCACACCUAACAGCAUCAAAGGGAGCAAAGAGAAGGAGGACAAGGAGAAGAGUGUGAAGGAGAAGAAGGAGAAGAAGGAGAAGGCCACUGCUAGCACUCCAGAGGCCAAGGCAGGAGGGAAGGAGAAGCAGAAGGAGGAGAAAGCAGGUGACACCAAGGACAAGGUGCCCAAGGCUGAGAAGGACAAGAGGAAGGAUGACAAGAAGGACGAGAAGAACAAGGGCGACGCCAAGGCUGCAGACAAAGAGUCAUCCAAGGAGCGAGACGUGGCCAAAGAAGGCAAGCAAAAGGAAGGCAGCAAGGGCGAGAAAAAUGCUGGUUCCCUUAAGUCCCCUGUUCCCAGAUCAGAAGGAAUCGACUCUGAACGGGAACAAAAAAGACGAAAGCUCGACACACACUCUUCACCCUCACACUCGUCUGCAGUUAAGGACAAUCUCAAUGACUUCAAGGACUCAGCCACCAAGCAGCAUCACGCCAACAACAGCACGGGCCUGACCAAGAGCGAAGCCGAGAAGAAAGAGUCUGACAAGUCCAGGGACCGCUCCAAAGAGAGGGAAAAGAAGGAGGAGAGGAAGGACCGCAAACGAGACUACUCCAACAGCGACCGUGAGAUGAGCCAGGAAGCCAAACGCCGCAAAGACGAGAACGGAACAAGCUCCUCAAAGCACAGUAAGAGCGCCAGUCCGCCUGAUUCGCCCCGCUCCAAUGACAAGGACAACAGCAAACGCUCCAAAUCCACCAGCAAAGACAAGAGCGACCUAGCCAAAUCCGACAAGCCCUCCGGAGGCAAAAAGGAAUCCAGGCACGACAAAGAGAAAUCUGAAAAAAAGCGAGACAGUACCGGCGCAAAAGAAGACAAGAAACAAUAUCCUUUGAUGUAGACACAUUAGUAAGAGUAAGUUUUGUGUUGCCGCCGACACGUUCCUUUGGCGUCCCUCACAAUCACGACUUUGUCCUUAACGUUUCUCACCCAUAAAUCAUCUGAAAAGCACAGAUAAUGUAACCUGACCUAGACAAGAAUUCUCUGCUGUGAGCUUCGAUGAGUUUCGAGCCCCAUCCACCUUUCAGCCAUGUCAGCAUCUACGUUCUCUCUUUCUUCUCACUGUCUGAGCUGAGGAUUUGUUCCCGCCCUUGUAUUUUUGGCUUGCCUAGUAAUUUCCUAGAAAUGUCGUAGCUUGUAUUUUAACCUGCCAUUUUUUUAUUGUAACAUUUUCAGUACCACGCUGAAAGUUCGUUUCUGUAAAAUUUUAGCACAAUGUGCUGCUGUAUUUCACAAACGGAAUCGGGGUCAGAAUUGUGUUGCUUCUCAAUCGAAUUGCAUUUUUAUAACUAGUCAAAAGUUUUUGGGUUUUUUUUUUUUUUUUUUGAGCAAAUUAUAUUUCUCAGCCUCAGUUUAUUUUCCAGUUUAUUUAUUUUUCUCUUCCUUUUAAUCUGUAUGCGGUAUUUAGAUGUAGGUGUUUAAAGCAGUAUGAACAGUCUAUUUGUAUAUUAUGUAUACAUAAAUAAAAUGGAUACUUGUAAUA